GAUGAACGCUAGCGGGAGGCCUAACACAUGCAAGCCGAGCGGUAUUUGUCCUUCGGGACAGAGAGAGCGGCGUACGGGUGCGGAACACGUGUGCAACCUGCCUUUAUCUGGGGGAUAGCCUUUCGAAAGGAAGAUUAAUACCCCAUAAUAUAUCGAAUGGCAUCAUUCGAUAUUGAAAACUCCGGUGGAUAGAGAUGGGCACGCGCAAGAUUAGAUAGUUGGUGAGGUAACGGCUCACCAAGUCAGUGAUCUUUAGGGGGCCUGAGAGGGUGAUCCCCCACACUGGUACUGAGACACGGACCAGACUCCUACGGGAGGCAGCAGUGAGGAAUAUUGGACAAUGGGUGAGAGCCUGAUCCAGCCAUCCCGCGUGAAGGACUAAGGCCCUAUGGGUUGUAAACUUCCUUUAUACUGGGAUAAACCUACUUACGUGUAAGUAGCUGAAGGUACAGUAUGAAUAAGCACCGGCUAACUCCGUG
rnacentral:rRNA from 1 species